rnacentral:rRNA from 1 species
GCACAAGCGGUGAGGAUGUGGUUUAAUUCGAAGCAACGCGAAGAACCUUACCAGGUCUUGACAUCCGAUGCUUAUUUCUAGAGAUAGAAAGUUACUUCGGUACAUCGGUGACAGGUGGUGCAUGGUUGUCGUCAGCUCGUGUCGUGAGAUGUUGGGUUAAGUCCCGCAACGAGCGCAACCCCUAUUGUUAGUUGCCAUCAUUCAGUUGGGCACUCUAGCGAGACUGCCGGUAAUAAACCGGAGGAAGGUGGGGAUGACGUCAAAUCAUCAUGCCCCUUAUGACCUGGGCUACACACGUGCUACAAUGGUUGGUACAACGAGUUGCGAGUCGGUGACGGCGAGCUAAUCUCUUAAAGCCAAUCUCAGUUCGGAUUGUAGGCUGCAACUCGCCUACAUGAAGUCGGAAUCGCUAGUAAUCGCGGAUCAGCACGCCGCGGUGAAUACGUUCCCGGGCCUU